ACGGGAGGCAGCAGUGGGGAAUAUUGGACAAUGGGCGCAAGCCUGAUCCAGCAAUGCCGCGUGGGUGAUGAAGGCCCUCGGGUUGUAAAGCCCUUUCGCACGCGACGAUGAUGACGGUAGCGUGAGAAGAAGCCCCGGCUAACUUCGUGCCAGCAGCCGCGGUAAUACGAAGGGGGCGAGCGUUGUUCGGAAUUACUGGGCGUAAAGGGCGCGUAGGCGGUGGUCCAAGUCAGGCGUGAAAGCCCCGGGCUCAACCUGGGAACGGCGCUUGAGACUGGGCCGCUCGAGUUCGGGAGAGGACGGCGGAAUUCCCAGUGUAGAGGUGAAAUUCGUAGAUAUUGGGAAGAACACCGAUGGCGAAGGCAGCCGUCUGGACCGACACUGACGCUGAGGCGCGAAAGCGUGGGGAGCAAACAGGAUUAGAUACCCUGGUA
rnacentral:rRNA from 1 species